GCCGCUCCCCCACCCACAUUUCUCCUCCACCCCCUCUCUCUCCUCUUCUCCCUCCUCGUUCGCGCGCCCAUCACCCAGCGCUCGCGCGCUCGCCUCCCGGACCAGCCGCCGCCGCGCCGCUGGGGCUCGUCCACCACGGAUUUUCAAGGGGAAGGAGCAAUGACGGGGCUAGGCUCCAGGCGGCGUACACUUCAUGGGAAGGCAAGGAACCAGGAGGUGAUGGGGUCAGAUCUGGCAGUGGUAGAUCAGAGCUUAAGCCCGAGGCCGCGACGGGGAAGGUCGAAAAAUAGAGAGACCGGAUGGAGGUGCUGGAGGCGAAGGACCGCCCGUCGGCAAGCUCGAGCUAGAGACGCACAGUUAGCGUCACCGGCCAUCAGAUGCAUAGGAGCAUGAGGCAGCGCUCCCGUCGCUUUGUGGUGGAGCUGCAUAGGAGGGGGAGGAGGCUGGCGAUAGGGAACCGGGCCGGGAGGAGGCAAGUAUGAGGAUCGGGUGCGUCAGGAAGCAGCUCUGAAUAUGGUUCCCGUAGAUGAAGAUAAGGAGAAGGCGCUUAUUUCACUGGCCAAGUGAGCUGGGAGCCGGGGUCAUCCCUCUCACCACCAAUCGAACAUACUACUUCAACCACCAUGUCGAGCGAUAUAAAAGGGUUCUCUGUUUCAUUGAGCAACGACACGAGACUGUGCCCCCUCUUGCUCCUGGUGCAUGUUGCUGCCCUCCUUUCCCCUCUGACUUGACUUGCUUUACAUUGUGUGAAGUUGUUUACCUUCAACUUUACAAAGCUAUAUCAAGUUCGCAACUGUACUUGGCUACACCUAUAACAUGAUGCAUUUCUCUUCCAGUUUAUUGAAUAUAUUUUUAUGGAUUGAAUGUCCAAUCUGGUACUGUUCUAUCACUCAUUUAACUACCUUAAUGUGUUCACAAAACUCCUUCUGUAGCUAAGAUUUCUUUGUACAACACAUCCUAAUUAUUGCUCUUAUUCUUAAAUCUUAUUUCACUUUAUUCAGCUGCAGGCUGGGUUAAGAUUGUUUUUGUGCCAGAAACAGACUAGGCAAUGCUCUAACCUUGGCAGCAAAAAUUGUCUAAAUUUCAUAAAUAAGGUAGUGGAAUAUCUUUGAAUAUGUUCAUUUAAAUAUCUUGAGUUGACCUGUAUGGGUUGCUUCUGUGCACACUUUCUUUGAUAUGAAUUUCUAGGAGAGAAAUUCUUUCAUGGUAAUGAUGUAUUACCGAUAUUUACUCUGUUUCUUAGGCCUAUAGGUUUCUUUUUGUGGGAUGCAGUUAUGGUACCAUAUGAAUAUGAUCGUCGAAUUGCAUAUUAUUGCCCUUUUGGACAUAGACAUGUGCCAUGUAGUAUAACAUUUAUAAAGAAUGUCUUGGAAAUUGCAAGUAGAUGAUUAUGGUUACCCUGUAACUUUAGGAGUAAGAUAUAUAUGAUGAUAGAAUCUAAAGAUGCUUGCUAAUCUAUAACAAUAAGAUCCAGUCACAUGCAAUAUGUUUUAUUCAUAGAAACAGGGGAUCAAUCUGGCUGAAAGUAAUCAUCUUAUGGCGUGGCAUGAAGAGAUGUGUGCAGAUCUGAGAAAGAAGAGGAAUAAUCCAGCAGAAGAAUUUAGUGAAUAAGAACAAGUUGGCAUUUCUCUCUUGUGAACACAGUCGUGCCUGCCUUUUGAUUUUAUUAUUUGUGCUAAUGCAAACAUGAACUCUCUAUAGUUCUUGACGCAGCACCGCUAAUUACUCAAUUUGCAAUACAUGAUUAUUUCUUGGAGAAGUUUAGUGCAUGAAUUAGAAUUCUGUAAAGUUAGUCUAAGCUCCUGUCUCUAGGCCAGGAUAGAUUUCUCAAUAUCAUUUUUGGGAUUGUUUGAACACUGAACAACAUUGCCAGGUCAACCAUUUCUCAUGUCUUUGUCAUAUCUAUAGGUAUUGUGCUGUCUCAAUUUUGUCACCAGCCUCUUUCACCGACCCGUAAACUAUCUGUCUCGAGGUCUCGCUAACUGUAUUGGGUUUAGAAAAAAAAACUAUAUUGGACUUAUCUUCGCAUCAGCUACUUUGUAGGUAUUAUGUGCGUUGUCAGGGAUCUGAUAUCAUGUAGUUCCAGGGAUUUUAGAAGGUCUGGUCAGUCCAUUGUUCUUGCCAUGUGUUACUUUUUAUCAUUACUGUUCUUGCUUUAUGGUUGCCUUCCGAGUGCACUUUUAUUAGUUUUAACAUAUUAAUUUUAAUAUGCUUGAUUGACCAUAUUAUAUAUUUCACUUCACCGGGGUGGUUGGUGGAAGUGUUGGUUAAAAUAUUUUAUACAGUUGAAUAUUCUUGAUUCACUAUUUUGUAGCCUGCUCUUAGUUGUAUAGUAUUAAUUCUUAAAACUUAAUCUCUUAAAAUUAGUUAAUUUAGUGAGUUGUUUCACUGUUUUCAAAUAAGUAGUUUCAGCCCUCACUAUGUCCUGAAACUUAUUCUUACUGCCUUUUAUGACUUAAAUGUAACUAUUGGCAUAUAAUCUCAUGUCUUAAAAUCUUAGUUGAGAAUGUAUUAAAAGUUAUAAGAUCUGGAGUUUCCACUAUAUUUCAUCUAGCGGUACUCCCAAUAAUUGAAUAUUAAGAGCACAAACGAUCAUAUGCUGUACAUUCAGUUACUCGAAAAUGCUUUUAUCUUGCAGGCCAGUUUUACAUAUACUUUUUCAAUAAUGAGAUGACUAUGAACAGAGUAUCAAGUUUUUUGUCUUGGCAUUACUGCCGCCGUGUACGGAUGGUUAUUAAAAGAAAAAGGAUUCAAGUGGCAUACCUUAACUUGACAGAUGCUUUAACCGCAAGAACUGUUGUUAUUUUCUUUUCCUUUCCUGCAAUGAUGGUAGUUCGCCUUUGAUUCUAGAAGUCGCAAAGGAGUGAAGGGUAGAGAUUUCCAUUGUCGUUGAAUUGGUGGGAUUGUCACCAAGUUAGUGUUGCAGAUUGUUUCUGUUUUAGAGCAAGAAGCCAAAUCAUUGUUCAUUGUAAAUCUUGAAAAACUUGUUUACUGUCACUUCUAUAUCUAUUAUAAACUUUCGUUCCUGGUGUGGUA